rnacentral:lncRNA from 1 species
UCCUAUCAGCCUAUCUUCAGUUUAUAAGAAAAUGUUAAGAAUAAGAGGAAAAGCAUGACCAUAUUAUCCACACAGAAUCCACAAACUAGAUAUAUGAUUUGAACCACAUGCUUAGCCUUGAGGGAAGCAUGAACUGUGUUCAGAAAUAGAACACUUUUAGCAAAAGAGCAGAUUUUCUAAUAUGCGCUAGCCAUAGGAAUCGAACCUAGAUUUUUGUACGCGACUACCCUGUUCCGUCGAACCAGGGGGGAGACGUUGAACGAUGGCCUCGUCGACUCCGAAGAGGCAGCAAUGUCGAACCCACGCGCAAGGCCGGUCCUGACAAAAAUGGGGCUCUGGGCGAAACAAAAAAAAUGGACCCUCAAUAUAUUAUUGUGUGCAAUAUAUUAAAAAAUAAAAAUAUUUCAUUACUUAUAAAAAUGACUUCGUCUAGCGUUUUUGAUUGCAAAUUCAUCCACAACAUCGUCUAAAUCUAUAUUAUCUAAAAUCUCUUUUUCUAUACAUAAUAGUCUAAAUCUAUAUUAUCUAAAAUCUCUUUUUCUAUACAUAAUAUUGCCAAGCCAUGUGACUAUAAUCUAAUAUUUGCCGAAGCCGAAGAUAUUGAAAAUCAACAUUAAACGGAACGAAACAAACAAGCUUACUAGAAUCCAGAAGACAAUGAUGGCACAUCAACAAUUUUUCCCACAAAUCCAAACGAAGACAAUCUGUAAAUUGCAGUGUGAAUUUUUUUGCUCAAGAAGGACAAUAAUCAAAGAGUAAAUUGGUGAGAAGAAUUAAUUCGCCUCAUUCUAUUUAUACAACUACAUAUGUGACUGAUUCAACAGUAAAAAUUGAGAAAUUGAAGAGAUUAAUAUCUUCCCCAUGAAAUUGGUGUUUGCAACGGCUUGAAGAAGAAGACGAAGCAUGUUUUUUUUUUCCUAGAAAUACGUCUGGC